rnacentral:rRNA from 1 species
GAUGAACGCUGGCGGCGUGCUUAACACAUGCAAGUCGAGCGGGCAAUUUAUCUAGCACUGAUUACUUCAAAUGGCUAUCGCCAGUGUAAUCAUGAAUUUCUACCUUAUUAAUAAAGAAAGAGAAAUUCAUGUACGCAAAUAGUGAUAACACAUUUUAGUGGAGUGAUGAGUGCUGGAUAAAUUGCUAGCGGCGGACGGGUGCGUAACACGUGGGUAACCUGCCCCUAUCACUGGGAUAACACACUGAAAAGUGUGCUAAUACCAGAUAACAUAAGCUUUUGGCAUCAUUAGCUUAUCAAAGAAUUUCGGAUAGGGAUGGGCCCGCGUCUGAUUAGCUAGUUGGUGAGGUAACGGCUCACCAAGGCAACGAUCAGUAGCCGACCUGAGAGGGUGAUCGGCCACACUGGAACUGAGACACGGUCCAGACUCCUACGGGAGGCAGCAGUGGGGAAUAUUGCACAAUGGGCGAAAGCCUGAUGCAGCAACGCCGCGUGAGCGAUGAAGGCCUUCGGGUCGUAAAGCUCUGUCCUAUGGGAAGAUAAUGACGGUACCAUAGGAGGAAGCCCCGGCUAACUACGUGCCAGCAGCCGCGGUAAUACGUAGGGGGCAAGCGUUAUCCGGAAUUACUGGGCGUAAAGGGUGCGUAGGCGGUUUAUCAAGUCAGGGGUGAAAGGCUACGGCUCAACCGUAGUGAGCCUCUGAAACUGGUGAACUUGAGUGUAGGAGAGGAAAGUGGAAUUCCCAGUGUAGCGGUG